CGUGUGGUGUCCGGCAAAGAAUCGGAUAGCGACACGGCCUAUAUUUUAGAGGU
rnacentral:ncRNA from 2 species